rnacentral:rRNA from 1 species
AGCCGAGUGAGCUAUCCAUGGGCAGUGUGAAGCGGAGGUAAGACUCUGUGGAGGCGCGAACCGACUUCAGUUGAAAAUGGAGCGGAUGACCUGUGGAUAGGGGUGAAAGGCCAAUCAAACUCGGUGAUAGCUGGUUCUCCGCGAAAUGCAUUUAGGUGCAGCGUCGUGCGUUCAACGAUGGGGGUAGAGCACUGAAUGGGCUAGGGGUCCUACAAGACUACCGACCCCAAUCAAACUCCGAAUACCAUCGUUCCAGAGCACGGCAGUGAGACCUCGGGGGAUGAGCUUCGAGGUCGAGAGGGAAACAGCCCAGACCGCCAGCUAAGGUCCCAAAAUCUGAACUAAGUGGUAAACGAUGUGAGAUUGCGAAAACAGCCAGGAGGUUGGCUUGGAAGCAGCCAUCCUUUAAAGAGUGCGUAACAGCUCACUGGUCGAGUGAUCUUGCGCGGACAAUGUAACGGGGCUCAAGUUCAGUACCGAAGCUGCGGAUGCGACUCUUUGAGUCGCGUGGUAGCGGAGCGUCGAGCGCGCAGCGAAGCGGCGGGAUAACCCAGCCGUGGAGUGCGUUCGAGCGAGAAUGUUGGCAUGAGUAGCGAAAGAGGGGUGAGAACCCCCUCCGCCGUAUGUCCAAGGGUUCCUGGGCGAGGCCAAUCCUCCCAGGGUGAGUCGGGAGCUAAGGCGAGGCCGAGAGGCGUAGUCGAUGCACAACUGGUUGAUAUUCCAGUACCACCAUGUUCGCGACCGUUCCAAUACUUUGUUGCUAAGGGGCUGUGUUGACUUCGGUUAACACGAACCGACCCACAUUGUUGCGGAAAGCUAUAGGGGGACGCAGGAAGGUAGAUGAACCCGGUGAAUGGUAGAACCGGGGUAAGCGUGUAGGAGGAGGACCAGGCAAAUCCGGGCCUCAUAUACCCUGAGACGUGAUACCGAGCCGCUUCAGGCGAAGUCAUUAAUCCUAUGCUGCCUAGAAAAGCCCAGUAGCGAGUUGACAUGGUGCCCGUACCCCAAACCAACACAGGUGGACAGGUAGAGCAUACCAAGGCGAGUGGGAUAACUAUGGUUAAGGAACUCGGCAAAUUUCCUCCGUAACUUCGGGAUAAGGAGGACCCCAGUAGCGUGACGAGACUUGCUCUCCGAGCGUGAAGGGGUGGCACAAAAUUGAGGGAAGCGACUGUUUACCAAAAACACAGCAGCGUGCUAAGCCGUAAGGCGCUGUAUACGCUGUGACUCCUGCCCGGUGCUGGAAGGUUACGGGGAUGGGUUAGUCCUUUGGGACGAAGCUCUGAACCUAAGCCCCAGUAAACGGCGGCCGUAACUAUAACGGUCCUAAGGUAGCGAAAUUCCUUGUCGGGUAAGUUCCGACCUGCACGAAUGGAGUAACGACUUCCCUACUGUCUCAACCAUAGACCCAGCGAAAUUGAAGUACGAGUAAAGAUGCUCGUUAGCUGCAGAAGGACGGAAAGACCCCGUGGACCUUUACUAUAACUUGAUGUUGUGUUUUGUCAUAUGUUGUGUAGGAUAGGUGGGAGACAAGGAAGCAUGGACGCC